rnacentral:misc_RNA from 1 species
GUGAAUCAUCGAAUUUUUGAACGCAAAUUGCACUCUUUGGUAUUCCGGAGAGUAUGCCUGUUUGAGGGUCAGUUAAAUAAAAAUCGGUGUGUUUGCUGCUUUUCGUGGUGACGCACCGGAUUUGCUUCGCCUUGCCUUCGGUUCCGUGACCUAUAAUUUUGCAUGAUUUUUUCUAACGUAUUUACAUGAUUUUACGUACGCUUCUGAUAUCGAAUACUAGGUUUGGUUAUCCUCAUGAUUUGCGCC